CAGCAGCACACCGUGGUUUGUACGGCGAUGCGGCCGCGUCCAAACCACGCUGUGUUGUUAGA
rnacentral:pre_miRNA from 1 species